rnacentral:tRNA from 1 species
GAGGGUGUAGCUCAGUGGUAGAGUGCAUGCUUAGCAUGCACAAGGUCCUGGGUUCAUUUCCCAGUACCUCCA